rnacentral:rRNA from 1 species
GACGAACGCUGGCGGCGUGCUUAACACAUGCAAGUCGAACGGAAAGGCCCUGCUUUUGUGGGGUGCUCGAGUGGCGAACGGGUGAGUAACACGUGAGUAACCUGCCCUUGACUUUGGGAUAACUUCAGGAAACUGGGGCUAAUACCGGAUAGGAGCUCCUGCUGCAUGGUGGGGGUUGGAAAGUUUCGGCGGUUGGGGAUGGACUCGCGGCUUAUCAGCUUGUUGGUGGGGUAGUGGCUUACCAAGGCUUUGACGGGUAGCCGGCCUGAGAGGGUGACCGGCCACAUUGGGACUGAGAUACGGCCCAGACUCCUACGGGAGGCAGCAGUGGGGAAUAUUGCACAAUGGGCGGAAGCCUGAUGCAGCAACGCCGCGUGCGGGAUGACGGCCUUCGGGUUGUAAACCGCUGUCGCCUGUGACGAGGCGUGAGUGACGGUAAUGGGUAAAGAAGCACCGGCUAACUACGUG